AUUGAACGCUGGCGGCAGGCUUAACACAUGCAAGUCGAACGAGUGGCGGACGGGUGAGUAAUGUCUGGGAAACUUCCUGAUGGAGGGGGAUAACUACUGGAAACGGUAGCUAAUACCGCAUACCAUCAGAUGUGCCCAGAUGGGAUUAGCUUGUUGGUGGGGUAAGGGCUCACCUAGGCGACGAUCCCUAGCUGGUCUGAGAGGAUGACCAGCCACACUGGAACUGAGAAACGGGCCAGACUCCUACGGGAGGCAGCAGUGGGGAAUAUUGCACAAUGGGCGCAAGCCUGAUGCAGCCAUGCCGCGUGUGUGAAGAAGGCCUUCGGGUUGUAAAGUACUUUCAGCGGGGAGGCGUUACUCGCAGAAGAAGCACCGGCUAACUCCGUGCCAGCAGCCGCGGUAAUUC
rnacentral:rRNA from 1 species